rnacentral:lncRNA from 1 species
UAUGGUGUGACGUGAGCGUUGGACGUAAGCGUAGUAGCCCUAUUUGAGUGUUUAGUUCAUAUAGGGGGUAUGGACACAUAUUUAUACACCCGUCUGUCCACCUUGAUGGCGUAGUGUAGCACCGCAUUAAGGCGUGACGUGAGCGUUGGACGCGAGCGUAGUAGCCCUAUAUAGACCCAUGAAUUUAUAUAGGGAGUAUGGACGAGUGUAAAUACAUACUUAUAUUAUAGAGUCUGAGAGGCUCGAUAUUUAUAGGAUAAAAGUUUUAUCGCUUGCGGCAUGCAUUCGAUUUUUCCUUAGAAAUUAAUUUGGGGAAACAUAAAUAUUUUAUUUAUUAUUUUAUUUUUGUCCACUCACUCUAACGUUAUUAAAUGUUUUCCCCUGGGCCCUUCGUUUUAAAUUGCCCAGUCUGCAGAGUUCGGGUUGGAUCUAGUAGGAGGCGAGGCAUAGUCACCCGCAUUUCUGCCAGUUUUCGCCAGUAGGUUACCUGUUCAACCUACUCGUGUUUUCUUGCUUCCGCUUGUGUUUAGUAGCUCUGAAUACUUUAGAAUUUUUGUAUUUUAUGCGAUGUUCAGAAGUGAUAAAUUAAGAGUGUAAUUUGAAAUUUUCGAGUUAGGGUUGUCCAUCUGCAAGGGAGAUUUUCUUAAUCUUUUCAGUAAAUUUUCCUUGGAGGUGGUCCCCGCACGACUUACUCUGGGUUUCAGGGUGAAAUUUGGGGUGGGUCGUGUCAGUUGGUAUCAGAGCUAUAGGUUUCCUUUUCCUGCAUCCUUGUCACUAUCACAUUUGCCUAAGUAGCAUGUAGUGUCUAUAGAGUGAUGAUCCGACCGCGGCGGAUUCAUUGGCAUUUUAUGCUUUUGAUGCUAUAUGUUAUUGGGUAUAUGUGAUUAUUGUGUUAGUCUUGUUUAUGGACUACUAAAUUUCUUCUUCCUCAGGUACUAUGCCUCCUAGGCGCCCACGGCAACCCCGUGUGGCUACUUCGACCAAUGCCGAUGAAGGCAAUGAGGUCAGGGGACUGGUUGAUGAUAUUGGAAAUAUGCGG